CGUGUAGGCGGAUCGGUAAGUCUACUCUGAAAGCUCCUGGCUAAACUGGGAGAGGCGAGUGGAGACUGUCGGUCUAGAGUGAGGAAGAGGAAAGUGGAAUUCCGCGUGUAGUGGUGAAAUGCGUAGAGAUGCGGAGGAACACCAGUGGCGAAAGCGGCUUUCUGGUCCUUAACUGACGCUGAGGCGCGAAAGCAUGGGGAGCGAACG
rnacentral:rRNA from 1 species